rnacentral:rRNA from 1 species
CUGCUCAGGAUGAACGCUGGCGGCGUGCCUAAUACAUGCAAGUCGAACGAGUUCUGAUUAUUGAAAGGUGCUUGCAUCUUGAUUUAAUUUUGAACGAGUGGCGGACGGGUGAGUAACACGUGGGUAACCUGCCCUUAAGUGGGGGAUAACAUUUGGAAACAGAUGCUAAUACCGCAUAAAUCCAAGAACCGCAUGGUUCUUGGCUGAAAGAUGGCGUAAGCUAUCGCUUUUGGAUGGACCCGCGGCGUAUUAGCUAGUUGGUGAGGUAACGGCUCACCAAGGCAAUGAUACGUAGCCGAACUGAGAGGUUGAUCGGCCACAUUGGGACUGAGACACGGCCCAAACUCCUACGGGAGGCAGCAGUAGGGAAUCUUCCACAAUGGACGCAAGUCUGAUGGAGCAACGCCGCGUGAGUGAAGAAGGCUUUCGGGUCGUAAAACUCUGUUGUUGGAGAAGAAUGGUCGGCAGAGUAACUGUUGUCGGCGUGACGGUAUCCAACCAGAAAGCCACGGCUAACUACGUGCCAGCAGCCGCGGUAAUACGUAGGUGGCAAGCGUUAUCCGGAUUUAUUGGGCGUAAAGCGAGCGCAGGCGGUUUUUUAAGUCUGAUGUGAAAGCCCUCGGCUUAACCGAGGAAGUGCAUCGGAAACUGGGAAACUUGAGUGCAGAAGAGGACAGUGGAACUCCAUGUGUAGCGGUGAAAUGCGUAGAUAUAUGGAAGAACACCAGUGGCGAAGGCGGCUGUCUGGUCUGUAACUGACGCUGAGGCUCGAAAGCAUGGGUAGCGAACAGGAUUAGAUACCCUGGUAGUCCAUABUGGGUGGAUGGAUGAUGCUAGGUGUUGGAGGGUUUCCGCCCUUCAGUGCCGCAGCUAACGCAUUAAGCAUUCCGCCUGGGGAGUACGACCGCAAGGUUGAAACUCAAAGGAAUUGACGGGGGCCCGCACAAGCGGUGGAGCAUGUGGUUUAAUUCGAAGCAACGCGAAGAACCUUACCAGGUCUUGACAUCUUUUGAUCACCUGAGAGAUCAGGUUUCCCCUUCGGGGGCAAAAUGACAGGUGGUGCAUGGUUGUCGUCAGCUCGUGUCGUGAGAUGUUGGGUUAAGUCCCGCAACGAGCGCAACCCUUAUGACUAGUUGCCAGCAUUUAGUUGGGCACUCUAGUAAGACUGCCGGUGACAAACCGGAGGAAGGUGGGGAUGACGUCAAAUCAUCAUGCCCCUUAUGACCUGGGCUACACACGUGCUACAAUGGAUGGUACAACGAGUUGCGAGACCGCGAGGUCAAGCUAAUCUCUUAAAGCCAUUCUCAGUUCGGACUGUAGGCUGCAACUCGCCUACACGAAGUCGGAAUCGCUAGUAAUCGCGGAUCAGCACGCCGCGGUGAAUACGUUCCCGGGCCUUGUACACACCGCCCGUCACACCAUGAGAGUUUGUAACACCCGAAGCCGGUGGCGUAACCCUUUUAGGGAGCGAGCCGUCUAAGGUGGGACAAAUGAUUAGGGUGAAGUCGUAACAAGGUAAACC